AUUCCAUGAGGGAAGGGUCCUUGUAUAGCUGACCAGGUUGUAUCUAUGACCGUCCUGUAGAAAGGUGUAAGGCUGGAGUUUCAGGUUGUGAGUGUUAAGAGGAACCUGGAAUAGAAGAUGGCUCUCCAGCAAGUAAAGAUGUGGUAUAAGCAGUCUGCCUCUUGGGCCACAGAACCUAGAAGAUUACAUGGACUCAUACAUACAAGAGCUGAUGAAGAUCUGUGUAGAAUUGUUGGUAAGUUCCCCAGGGAGUCUUAAUGCAAAAUUUUAAGAUUCUGGAGCAAGACUAUGCUAAGUGCAACAAAGAAAAAUAUUUCAAAAAUUAGUCCUGGUUCCCCAGUAGAGACUGAGCAAGUCUCCAUACAAUAUGAAAGGAUAGUGUACUAAAGCAGCCCAU